rnacentral:lncRNA from 1 species
GGAUUUACUGGGUUCAAUGCCCAGGCCAACUUGCCUGGGCCUAGACUUGCUCGAAUGAAUCUCAAACUUGGGCCUGGACGCAAGUCUGGCCCAAUUUUCAUUUACAUGCAACUACAAAACAUGUUUAUUACAGAGGAAAAUCUCUUAUUGAAAGUCUACUGAUAAUCAAGCAUAAUUUGAAACUUAACAGUCCGUUUACAAUAUUGUGAGUCCAAGAAUUUAUACAAGAAAGAUUUUAAUCCUAAUGAAUCAAUAUCCUAACAGCCAUCAUAACUAGCAUCUAAAAAUGAAAAUUCUGAAAAGUAAAAAAAAAAAAAAAAAAAAAAAAAAUUUCUUCUGGUUUCAAAAUUCCUUCCAUCAACUACUUCAAAAUCAGUGCAUAAGAUCUGCAAGAGGCCAGCUACAAAGAUGCUUCUCACAAGAUGAUUACUUAAGCUCCCAACCUGAAGUUUCUUACUGCCAAAUCAGCUUCUAUUUUUACUAAGAAUUUCAUGGAUCUGACCAUGUGAAAAGGCCAGAUUCACAAAAUAACUUUAGCUAUACUAACCUACUACAUUGUCAGACCCAAACUUAAACAUAUAAUGAGAAACAAUAGUGAUUCAUGGGUUAAACCAUGUUAAAGGUUAAACUCAUGAACCAAUAUGAGGUUCAAACCCAAAACCAUGGCCUACUGCCUUGGGGAAAUGCUAGAAUGGAUUAAAGAGAAGGGAAGGGUUGGUUUAAGACAUGAAUUUGACCAUGUAAGGGUCAGACUCAAUGAACAACCAAGUUUCAAGAACAGGGAUUUAAACAUACUAUCUAACUAAUGCAAAAAAAAAAAAAAACAGAAAUGCACAUUAGCUAAAGCAAAGGAAUGAUCAAUGUUAAAGUUACAUAAAGAACAGAUUCUUAGGAUAUAGAACCAAAGAGGCAAAAGAACAUUCAUUUGGGAAGGAAGAUAUUCAACAAUGAUUGCAGCUUCAGACAAACAAACAUACAGAUAUGUGAACAACAGAGAUCAAUUGCAUUCAUCUUAAGUUGCAUUUAUAUGCACUGAAACAUGGAAGAAACAUGAAUACCUUGAAACAACAACUAAAUAACAACAGCUAAAUUGAAGGAAAUAGCUGCUAGAAGCUUCAGAAUUACAAAAACAGCAACAGGAAUCAACACAGCUUCAGUAACCAAGUAAACCCCAGAGUUUCAAAACCAAGAACAAGCAUUUGAAAACCAGGAAAUCCCUCAGUAAAUUACCUUAGAAGGCUCUCUAUUUCAAACCAUUUUCCCAGCUUAUGAACAAAAGAGGAAUGUUUUUCCUUUUGAAAUGUUUCUAAGGUUUUUGUAAAAUCUGGAAAGAGAACCUUUGUGCAGAGAAUAAGGCUGGUGAUUGCUAAUUUAUUCUCCCUUUUAGAAUGAGGGAAACCUACAUAUAUAGGCUGCCUAGGG